rnacentral:other from 1 species
GAAACCCUGCUGUGCACGUCGUGCCUUCUUAUUUUGAACCAACACCUUUAUAACGGGAGUUCAGCGCUGAUGAGGUGAGUCAAUGCCCCGUACGGGGACUGUUCAAGAAACCUUGUCUCAAGAACACCCACCUGCAAUUAUGCAGACUCAAAAUACGGCAAUAAACGACAUGGUGGGGCUAAU